rnacentral:rRNA from 1 species
UACGUAGGGGGCAAGCGUUGUCCGGAAUCAUUGGGCGUAAAGCGCGUGUAGGCGGUUCGGUAAGUCUGCUGUGAAAGUCCAGGGCUCAACCCUGGGAUGCCGGUGGAUACUGUCGGACUAGAGUACGGAAGAGGCGAGUGGAAUUCUCGGUGUAGCGGUGAAAUGCGUAGAUAUCGAGAGGAACACCUGCGGCGAAGGCGGGUUGCUGGGCCGACACUGACGCUGGAAGUGCGGAAAGCUAGGGGAGCGAACGGG